CAAUAGCGUAUAUUUAAGUUGUUGCAGUUAAAAAGCUCGUAGUUGGAUUUUGGGUCGGGGGCACCGGUCCGCCGUUCCGGUGUGCACUGGUGGCCCCUUCCUUUCUGCCGGGGACGUGCGCCGCACUUAAUUGGGUGGCGUUCGGAGUCGGCGUUGUUACUUUGAAAAAAUUAGAGUGUUCAAAGCAAGCCAUCGCUCUGAAUACAUUAGCAUGGAAUAACAUGAUAGGACUCCGGUCUUAUUUUGUUGGUUUCCGAGACUGGAGUAAUGAUUAAGAGGGACAGUCGGGGGCAUCCGUAUUUCAUUGUCAGAGGUGAAAUUCUUGGAUUUAUGAAAGACGAACUUCUGCGAAAGCAUUUGCCAAGGAUGUUUUCAUUAA
rnacentral:rRNA from 1 species